UACGAAGGGGGCUAGCGUUGCUCGGAAUCACUGGGCGUAAAGCGCACGUAGGCGGAUUGUUAAGUCAGGGGUGAAAUCCUGGAGCUCAACUCCAGAACUGCCUUUGAUACUGGCGAUCUUGAGUCCGGGAGAGGAGACUGGAAUUUACGGUGUAGCGGUGAAAUGCGUAGAUAUCGUAAGGAAGACCAGUGGCGAAGGCGGGUCUCUGGACAGUUCCUGACGCUGAGGCACGAAGGCCAGGGGAGCAAACGGG
rnacentral:rRNA from 1 species